UACGUAGGGGGCAAGCGUUGUCCGGAAUCAUUGGGCGUAAAGCGCGCGUAGGCGGCCCGAUAAGUCCGCUGUGAAAGUCAAAGGCUCAACCUUUGAAUGCCGGUGGAUACUGUCGGGCUAGAGUCCGGAAGAGGCGAGUGGAAUUCCUGGUGUAGCGGUGGAAUGCGCAGAUAUCAGGAGGAACACCAAUAGCGAAGGCAGCUCGCUGGGACGGUACUGACGCUGAGGCGCGGAAGCGUGGGGAGCGAACAGG
rnacentral:rRNA from 1 species